rnacentral:rRNA from 1 species
GAUGAACGCUAGCGGGAGGCCUAACACAUGCAAGCCGAGCGGUAUUGUUUCUUCGGAAAUGAGAGAGCGGCGUACGGGUGCGUAACACGUGUGCAACCUGCCUUUAUCUGGGGGAUAGCCUUUCGAAAGGAAGAUUAAUACUCCAUAAUAUAUUGAACGGCAUCGUUUAAUAUUGAAAGCUCCGGCGGAUAGAGAUGGGCACGCGCAAGAUUAGCUAGUUGGUGAGGUAACGGCUCACCAAGGCGAUGAUCUUUAGGGGGCCUGAGAGGGUGAUCCCCCACACUGGUACUGAGUCACGGACCAGACUCCUACGGGAGGCAGCAGUGAGGAAUAUUGGUCAAUGGGUGCAAGCCUGAACCAGCCAUCCCGCGUGAAGGACGACUGCCCUAUGGGUUGUAAACUUCUUUUGUAUAGGGAUAAACCUACCCUCGUGAGGGUAGCUGAAGGUACUAUACGAAUAAGCACCGGCUAACUCCGUG